rnacentral:rRNA from 1 species
GGAAAGGUGAAAAGAACCCCGAACAGGGGAGUGAAAUAGAACCUGAAACCAUACGCUUACAACCGGUCGGAGCAGCUUCGUGCUGUGACGGCGUGCCUAUUGAAUAAUGAGCCUACGAGUUACUAAUCACUAGCGAGGUUAAGUGCAAGGAUGCACGGAGCCGAAGCGAAAGCGAGUCUGAACAGGGCGUUUAGUUAGUGGUUGUAGACGCGAAACCUUGCGAUCUACCCUUGAGCAGGUUGAAGGUUGGGUAAAACCAACUGGAGGACCGAACGAAUAAGCGUUGAAAAGCUUCUCGAUGACUUGAGGGUAGGGGUGAAAGGCUAAUCAAGCUGGGAAAUAGCUCGUACUCCCCGAAAUGCCUUUUGGGGCAGCGUUGUAAUAAAGAGUCUACUGGAGGUAGAGCUACUGAUUGGAUGCGGGGGCUUCACCGCCUACCAAAUCCUGACAAACUCCGAAUGCCAGUAGUAUGAUUUACAGCAGUGAGUGACUGGGUGCUAAUGUCCAGUCGCAAAAGAGGAACAACUCAGACCAGCAACUAAGGUCCCGAAGAAUAUGCUAAGUUGAUCUAACGAUGUUUUGCUGCAGAGACAGCUAGGAUGUUAGCUUGGAAGCAGCUAUUCAUUCAAAGAGUGCGUAACAGCUCACUAGUCGAGCGGCAAAGCGUGGAUAAUAAACGGGCAUCAAGUAUACCACCGAAGUUCUGGGCACGAAAGUGCGGUAGGGGAGCAUUCCAUUCAGCGUCGAAGCAGUUUCGUGAGGAAUUGUGGAGCGUAUGGAAAAGCAAAUGUAGGCAUGAGUAACGAUAAUGCGGGAGAGUAACCCGCACACCGCAAGACCAAGGUUUCCUGAUCAACGCUAAUCGGAUCAGGGUUAGUCGGGUCCUAAGGGUAAGCCGAACGGCGAUCUCGAUGGAUAAUCGGUUAAUAUUCCGAUACUAACAUAUACCUCGAUGGAGAGACGAAGGAACGUAAGUGCCGCCACCUGACGGAAUAGGUGGUUAAAGGGCUUAGGUAUAGGGACAGAUUAAGAGUUAGUCCUUGCUGAAACCUGACAGUACAGAGAGCCUACGGGCAAUUUGAUAGAGCACCCAAGUCGACUUCCGAGAAAAUCUUCUAAGUUAUAGUAUAUGUUACCCGUACCGUAAACCGACACAGGUGGUCGAGGAGAGUAUCCUAAGGUGCUCGAGUGAAUCACGGUUAAGGAACUAGGCAAAUUAACCCCGUAACUUCGGGAAAAGGGGUCCCUAUGAAAGUAGGGCGCAGCGAAGAGGUCCAGGCGACUGUUUAUCAAAAACACAGGGCUCUGCAAAUUCGAAAGAAGACGUAUAGGGCCUGACACCUGCCCGGUGCUGGAAGGUUAAGAGGGGAUGUCAUCGCAAGAGAAGCAUUGAAUCGAAGCCCCAGUAAACGGCGGCCGUAACUAUAACGGUCCUAAGGUAGCGAAAUUCCUUGUCGGGUAAGUUCCGACCUGCACGAAUGGUGUAACGAUCUGGGUACUGUCUCAACCAUGAGCUCGGUGAAAUUGUAGUUCCGGUGAAGAUGCCGGAUACCCGCAACGGGACGGAAAGACCCCGUGAACCUUUACUGCAGCUUUGCAUUGAUUUUGGGUAACAGAUGUGUAGGAUAGGUCGGAGGCUUUGAUGCUGCGUCGUCAGGCGUAGAGUAGCCGUCGUUGAAAUACGACCCUUUUGUUAUCUGAGGUCUAAUCCCGUUAGGGAGACAUUGCAUGGUGGGUAGUUUGACUGGGGUGGUCGCCUCCAAAAGUGUAACGGAGGCUUCUCAAGGUACCCUCAAGGCGUUUGGUAAUCGUCUGCAGAGUGCAAUGGCAUAAGGGUGCUUGACUGUGAGACCGACACGUCGAUCAGGUUGGAAACAAGAGCAUAGUGAUCCGGUGGUUCCGCAUGGAAGGGCCAUCGCUCAAAGGAUAAAAGGUACUCCGGGGAUAACAGGCUGAUCGCUCCCAAGAGCUCAUAUCGACGGAGCGGUUUGGCACCUCGAUGUCGGCUCGUCACAUCCUGGGGCUGGAGAAGGUCCCAAGGGUU